UUAUUUGUUGUUGUGCGGGAGAAUUGCGUGAAAAUCGCAAACAGUCCGGCUACUGUGAUUGGACGUUUUUUGUCCAUAAGUCAGAGCGCCUGCAAAAAU
rnacentral:ncRNA from 2 species